AGGGUUCGAUUAUGGCUCAGGAUGAACGCUGGCGGCGUGCUUAACACAUGCAAGUCGAGCGAAGCGCUUUAGACAGAAUCCUUCGGGAGGAAGACUAUUGUGACUGAGCGGCGGACGGGUGAGUAACGCGUGGGUAACCUGCCUCAUACAGGGGGAUAACAGUUAGAAAUGACUGCUAAUACCGCAUAAGACCACGGUACCGCAUGGUACAGUGGUAAAAACUCCGGUGGUAUGAGAUGGACCCGCGUCUGAUUAGCUAGUUGGUGGGGUAACGGCCUACCAAGGCGACGAUCAGUAGCCGACCUGAGAGGGUGACCGGCCACAUUGGGACUGAGACACGGCCCAA
rnacentral:rRNA from 1 species